GUGGGGUAAUUUUCCGCAAUGGGCGAAAGCCUGACGGAGCAAUGCCGCGUGGAGGUGGAAGGCCUACGGGUCGUCAACUUCUUUUCUCGGAGAAGAAACAAUGACGGUAUCUGAGGAAUAAGCAUCGGCUAACUCUGUGC
rnacentral:rRNA from 1 species